UGGGUUAUUGCUUAGUGGUAGAGCAUAUGCUUAGCAUGCACGAGGUCCUGGGUUCAAUCCCCAGUACUUCCA
rnacentral:tRNA from 1 species